UCCACUUCUACUAUAUUAGAUGACCUCGCAUGUUAUUUUCUUCAUUUAAUGUUAAAUUCACCCGUGGAGUCAUUUAAAUCCUAAAGCUAGGGCCUAAUUUGACUGUAAUGAAAAACAACUAUUAUCAAUUUUAGGUGCUGUGCGUGCAUAAAGACUGGGCAGUUCCAUUAAACCCAGGUCAAACAGAGAUCAACUAGGGAGUCCGAGAGGCCUGGUUAGUAAACGGACCAACGGUGACAUCCUCUGGACAAAGUAUUUCCAGUAGUCUAGUGCUCUCAAGAAAUGAAUGUUGUGCAGAGACAGUCACCGUUGCUGAGGUAUCUCAUCUGUGGACAGGAUCAGAGUGAUGGUGUGGCUGGGUGGCAGGAUGGUGGUCCCUCCCUGACUAGUAAACCCGAACAGGAAGCGCAGACCCCCUAUUAGCAGAGCCAAAUAAGAGGGAUCUCCAAGGCUGGCAGCGAGAGGAAUGAGAGAUGCACGUUAUGGGUCAUUAUCCUGUUGAAGAGGCCGUGACCUGCGACUGAGACGGAGCUCUGACACUGGGUAGUUUGUUUCUCUCCAGAAUGCCUCAAUAAUUGCCAUUAAAACACCACCAAAACAUAACUGAGUCUCCUCUGUGUGAGCCGAUGUGACUUAGCAAAAAGCCAAGCGGUCCGCAGUCCAUUUUUGCACACAUCGGACUGUGGGAUCUGCCACAUGAACACACUACAGCCACAAGAAAAACACUGUCCCAUUAAGACCGGAGACCUUAGUUAUACCUACU